AACUUCAAAUUAUAAGUCUAAUGGUUAGAGCGUCCGCUUUGGAUGCGGGAGGUCGUGGGUUCGAUACCCGGUCGAGUCA